AAUUGAUGUUGGAUUACCAGUGCAGCGGCGGACGGGUGAGUAACACGUGGGCAACCUGCCCUGAAGCGGGGGAUAACAUCUGGAAACAGGUGCUAAUACCGCAUAACAACGAAAACCACAUGGUUUUCGUUUCAAAGAUGGUUUCGGCUAUCACUUCAGGAUGGGCCCGCGGUGCAUUAGCUAGUUGGUAAGGUAACGGCUUACCAAGGCAAUGAUGCAUAGCCGAGUUGAGAGACUGAUCGGCCACAAUGGAACUGAGACACGGUCCAUACUCCUACGGGAGGCAGCAGUAGGGAAUUUUCCACAAUGGGCGCAAGCCUGAUGGAGCAACACCGCGUGAGUGAAGAAGGGUUUCGGCUCGUAAAGCUCUGUUGUUGGAGAAGAACGUGCGUGAGAGUAACUGUUCACGCAGUGACGGUAUCCAACCAGAAAGUCACGGCUAACUACGUGCCAGCAGCCGCGGUAAUACGUAGGUGGCAAGCGUUAUCCGGAUUUAUUGGGCGUAAAGCGAGCGCAGGCGGUUGCUUAGGUCUGAUGUGAAAGCCUUCGGCUUAACCGAAGAAGGGCAUCGGAAACCGGGCGACUUGAGUGCAGAAGAGGACAGUGGAACUCCAUGUGUAGCGGUGGAAUGCGUAGAUAUAUGGAAGAACACCAGUGGCGAAGGCGGCUGUCUGGUCUGCAACUGACGCUGAGGCUCGAAAGCAUGGGUAGCGAACAGGAUUAGAUACCCUGGUAGUCCAUGCCGUAAACGAUGAGUGCUAGGUGUUGGAGGGUUUCCGCCCUUCA
rnacentral:rRNA from 1 species